rnacentral:rRNA from 1 species
UACACGCAUGACACACUGCAUAUCAAUAAGCGGAGGAAAAGAAACUAACAAGGAUUCCCUUAGUAACGGCGAGUGAAGCGGGAAGAGCUCAAAUUUGAAAUCUUCAAGGUUCUACCUUGACGAAUUGUAGUUUAUAGAAGUGUUUUCUGUUAGUAGAGUGGCAAAAGUUCUUUGGAAUAGGACAUCAUAGAGGGUGAGAAUCCCGUAUUUGGUCAUUCUUUCUAGCUUUGUGAUACACUUUCAACGAGUCGGAUUGUUUGGGAAUGCAGUCCAAAAUGGGUGGUAAAUUUCAUCUAAAGCCUAAAUAUUGGCGAGAGACCGAUAGCGAACAAGUACCGUGAGGGAAAGAUGAAAAGAACUUUGAAAAGAGAGUUAAACAGUACGUGAAAUUGUCAAAAGGGAAGCGUUUGACACCAGUGUUGUUUUUUCCGAAAAUCAAUUACGAAUGUUUUGUUUUUAAGAAGUUAUGACUUCAUCGGCUUGCUUCUCUCUUUACGAAACUUUCUUAAUGCACUUUUCGGUUAACAAGUCAACAUCAAUUUCUUUUGUUGUAAAAGGGUAUGAGGAAGGUGGCUUUCUUUUCGGAGAAAGUGUUUAUAGCCUUGUACCUCUGCAAUCGGAGAGAUUGAGGUCUGCAGCGUAGAUCCUUCGGGGUUAGAUACAUUUGUGCUAAGUUAUAGCUUUUCAUAGACAACUUGUUGACUAUGUUAAGUCUUGUAGCUUACUCGCUUAUGCUAUUUUACCUACGCUUAGGAUGUUGAGCGCAUGUCUCUCUCU